AAUGAACGCUGGCGGCAGGCCUAACACAUGCAAGUCGAACGGAUCCUUCGGGAUUAGUGGCGGACGGGUGAGUAACGCGUGGGAACAUACCCUUUGGUACGGAAUAGCCUCGGGCAGCUGGGAGUAAUACCGUACGUGGUCGAGAGACGAAAGAUUUAUCGCCAAAGGAUUGGCCCGCGUUGGAUUAGGUAGUUGGUGGGGUAAUGGCCUACCAAGCCGACGAUCCAUAGCUGGUUUGAGAGGAUGAUCAGCCACACUGGGACUGAGACACGGCCCAGACUCCUACGGGAGGCAGCAGUGGGGAAUCUUAGACAAUGGGGGAAACCCUGAUCUAGCCAUGCCGCGUGAUCGAUGAAGGCCUUAGGGUUGUAAAGAUCUUUCAGGUGGGAAGAUAAUGACUGUACCACCAGGAGAAGCCCCGGCUAACUCCGUGCCAGCCGCCGCCGUAA
rnacentral:rRNA from 1 species